UCUCUGUAGGUGAAUCUGCGGAGGGCUCAUCACUGAGUGAGGGUUUAACCGCCCGACCUCCAACCCUUUGUGAAUCGUACUCGUUGCUUCGGGGGCGACCCUGCCGUCCGCGGCUGAGCGCCCCCGGGGUCAAUCAAACCCUGCGUAACUAAGUCGUCGGAGUUUAAACAAAUUAAACAAAACUUUCAACAACGGAUCUCUUGGUUCGGGCAUCGAUGAAGAACGCAGC
rnacentral:misc_RNA from 1 species